rnacentral:rRNA from 1 species
GAUGAACGCUAGCGGCAGGCCUAAUACAUGCAAGUCGUACGGCAACACAGUUGCGAGCAAUCGCAACCGGUGGCGAGUGGCGCACGGGUGAGUAACGCGUAUGUAACCUACCCUUCUCCGGGACAUAACUCCGCGAAAGCGGUGCUAAUAUCCCAUACCAACUCAUCAAGACAUCUUCUUGAGUUGAAAGCAGCAAUGCGGUGAAGGAUGGGCAUGCGUCCCAUUAGCUGGUUGGUGAGGUAAUGGCCCACCAAGGCUACGAUGGGUAGGGGUUCUGAGAGGAAAGCCCCCCACACUGGUACUGAGACACGGACCAGACUCCUACGGGAGGCAGCAGUAAGGAAUAUUGGGCAAUGGUCGAAAGACUGACCCAGCCAUGCCGCGUGCAGGAUGAAGGCCCUAUGGGUUGUAAACUGCUUUUAGCCGGGAAUAAACACCCCGUUUUAUAACGGGCCCGAAGGUACCGGCUGAAUAAGCAUCGGCUAACUCCGUGCCAGCAGCC